ACGUGUGUGUGCAUGUGCAUGU
rnacentral:miRNA from 2 species